AGAAACAUGACACACCCAUCUGUCUGAUUCCACAAGAGCUCUCAUGGCUCCUAAGAGUUACACAUAGGUGCACUUACGUUUGAGUAUGAACUCAAACUUGUUUUGGAGUGCAGUCAUAAAAUGAGAUUUAGGUAACGUGAUAAUGGAAGGAACCAGGAGGAGUGGGUUUGUUUUUCAAAACUGUUCCUGGCAGAAGAACCUAUGACCUAGCUCACCACUAUCCACCCGAAGCCUCAUCACACAGCUGUCCAAGGCGUGUGGCCUGGGACAGAGCAGGAGAGAGAGGAGGAGCCACUGCUGGGUGAAAAGGGACUGGUUCUGGGAGACUGUAGGGCCCCUCGUCUCUAAACAGCCAGAUGAAUUCCAGGCAGCUGCCUCUGAUCAGGAAUAAACCAGUGAUUUAAAACACAUACAUCUGUGUUACUCACAAGGAUUCAAUUAUCUCCUAGGGAAACCAGAUGGACUGCCUAGCAACAGCAUCCUCCUCUCCCCCCACCUUCUGCAUACCUGGGGCCUGUGGUUGCCCUUUAGUGACCUACCUGAAAAGUCGGCAUAGCACCGUGGGUAGGAGGGAGGCCUGAGAGGAGCACCAGACCCUGAACCCUAGCUGUGCUGCCUAGGCCCAGUCUUGUCUUCCAGACCGCCAGCGUGAGGAGGCUGGCCUAGCGGCAGUCCCCAUGUCUUCCUUACACGUGGAAACUCAAGCAAGUGGGGAAACUGG
rnacentral:lncRNA from 1 species